UGCAUUGACCUAUAUGUCUAACUUUAUGCCCGUACCACUCUGUCCUGAUUGCUAUAACUUUGUAGUAUGUUUAGAAAUUGAGAAGUAUGAGUCCUUUAACUUUAAUCUUCUUUUUCAAGUUUGUUACAAGUUCCCUGGA